rnacentral:rRNA from 1 species
GUAGUCCACGCUGUAAACGAUGGGUACUAGGAUUCGGGGGAGUUGACCCCUCCGGAUCCGGAGCUAACGCGAUAAGUACCCCGCCUGGGAAGUACGGUCGCAAGACUAAAACUCAAAGGAAUUGACGGGAGCCCGCACAAGCGGUGGAUUAUGUGGUUUAAUUCGAAGCAACGCGCAGAACCUUACCUAGGUUUGACAUCCUUUGACAAUACCAGAGAUGGUACUUUCGUAGCAAUACGACAAAGAGACAGGUGCUGCAUGGCUGUCGUCAGCUCGUGUGGUGGCAUGUCGGGUUAAGUCCCUCAACGAGCGCAACCCCUAUGUUUAGUUGCCAGCAUUAAGUUGGGCACUCUAGACAGACUGCCGUGGUUAACACGGA